CAGCCGUAAACUAUGCGCGUUAGGUGUAUCGGUGACCACGAGUCACCGAGGUGCCGAAGGGAAGCCGUGAAACGUGCCGCCUGGGAAGUACGGUCGCAAGGCUGAAACUUAAAGGAAUUGGCGGGGGAGCACCACAACGGGUGGAGCCUGUGGUUUAAUUGGACUCAACGCCGGGAAGCUCACCGGAUAAGACAGCGGAAUGAUUGCCGGGCUGAAGACUCUGCAUGACUAGCUGAGAGGAGGUGCAUGGCGUAGACGUCU
rnacentral:rRNA from 1 species